GGAACUGGGAUUGCUGAGGAAAAGAGUUUCAUCAUCAAAAGCCAAUGCAACAAAAAGCAAAGGUGCUCAGAAGUCAAGGACAUGUCAGACGUUUACUUAUCUCAUUGUGAUUGAUUUUGAAUCAACUUGCUGGAAAGACAAAAAGAAUACCAACCAAGAGAUAAUUGAGUUUCCUGCGGUGCUUCUGAAUGCUACCAAUGGCCAGUUAGAGAGUGAGUUCCAGCAGUAUGUCAUGCCCGAUGAGCACCCUAUAUUGAGUGAAUUCUGCACAGAGUUCACUGGGAUAUCACAGGUAAUUAGAGAAAUCUUUUAUAUUUCAUUUGGUUUACAAUAACUUUGGCUACUUCUCCUUCCCUCUUUCCUCCCUUUCCUCUUUUCCCCCCUUUCCUCUUUUCCCCCUUUCCUUCCCCUUUCCCUUUCUUUUCCCCUCACUUUUCUCUUUUCCCUGUUUUUUUAAAUUUUCCUGGUGAAAUUCGCCAGGGGGGGGGGGGGCAGCCCCUCCUCCCCGCCUGUUACGCCACUGGUGAAAACCAGUUUAAACACCCAAAACAGUAUUAGAAGGAAUCUUAAGUGGUCUUCCAAACCAGUUUUGGAAACCCACCUCAUGAUGUGGUUUUCAAGACCACUUUGCCUCGUUAAACUGGUCUAAGCGUAGAUGAGGACACAGCGGUCUUCCGGCAGCGGUCUCCACCCGGAAGUAUGAAAGUGUGUGUCUGUUGGGUGUGUGAAGCGAUCUUCUUAACUGAUGUUACGAAGUGGUUUAAAGGAAGCCACAUCAGGAAAGUACAUGUAGGUGAGGACGGGAUCUAAUACCACAUGAACUAUUAACCAGUUUGGUUUUGUACUCUAAUAAUUUCGCUGACACGUCACUUGGGUCCUGUAACACAAAGGUUAGCAAUUCAUCGUAGACUUGAUUUUCACGAUUGAUUGUACAUUGUAGUCAAUGGAAUCAAUCGUAGAAAUAUGUUCUACAAUCAUUGCUAAAGUUUGUGUUACGGGCUCUUGGUCUGAUAUCCACUAACUCGAAAUAUGUCCAAUAUCCAUUUUGUCUACUUUUUUUAUGAUUUUAACUUUGUCUACUAAAAAUAUGAUUCAUAAACAGUUUCUCUGACCACAUAGGCAACAUGAAAGUGGUGUUACACAAAAUGGAUAUUAAACAAAAGUAGACAAAAUGGUAAAUGGGCUGACAUGGCAGGUACAUGUAUACAAAAUUUAAAAAUAUCGCUUCGGUCAAAAAAGUGUUUUGUAGAUCUUUAAGAAAAAAUAGUUCUUAGCAGGUACGACUGAAUGAAAUUCCAUACAGAAGCUGCGCUUUACAAAUCUAUGUUUAUUGUUGUAAGUAUUGUGAAGGAAACCCCUUUUUGUGAAUAGGAAAAUCUCAUCUUAAAAAGAGAUAUUUAGAUUUCCAAAAUUUCCUUUUUAUCUGGAGUGUUGUUUGUUUACAUCACGUAACUGAACGCCAGUAUAGUCAUUGAAUGCCGGAGAUCAGCUGUUUUUACUACGUGAACUGUGACCUAAAUUCCGGAGAGAGACUGGUGAAUUUACUCUGAUUAAUUGUUAGUGUGCGCGCAUACGUGUUAGCGCAGAGCAAUUGGUAUAUUUCUGCUGAGUCACGCCAUAUUCACGUAGAGCCAGCAGUAUGAUCUAUUUAUGGGACCGGUAUGGUCUGUUAUGAAAUUUUAUGAGCAUUUAAAUAGCUCUAAGUCAAAAUAAGAAUCUUACCUUUUGUGUAGAUUCUCUGGAACUUGAUUACAGCAUUAAUUUAUUGGUGGAAUUUCUUCAUUCAUGUUUGGAUACUGUUAUUUUCCUUUAUUCUGAGACGAUUACCGCCAGGAUUUUGAACUCUUCCUUGGAUCUAAAGCUCUGAUGCGCGCAUACGAGCACAGACGCGCUAUCAUUUGGUAUUUUAAAGUAUUGAAUUUGCAUAGCAUCCCGCCGCGUAAUGUUUAUGUGGAGAGAGUGGUUUUUAAAGCACUAAAAUUACAUAACAACCCGCCGCAUAAUGCAAUGAGCUCAGAAAUUGCCAAAAUCCUGGGGGGGCCAAAAGUCUAUAAAUAGGGGAGGUUUUGAGGAGUUUGUCAUAUCGUCUGCAAGCUCUCUUGAGUUAAGUUAGCUCUCCUAGUCACAAUUCACAUUCACUCUCUCGAGAAUUCUCGUUCUCUGUUUCUCUUUCUACAUUGUACAUUCCUCUGUGAGUACGUUACGUCAUCAUUUGAUACUAAGUUCCAUUCAGGGAAUUCAGCGAGAUUAAUGAUGAAUUUCUGGCAUACGAAUUUGAAAUAAUUCGUCACCUUUUUGGUUAGUGACGAUUUAUGGCAACCAAUUCUCUGUUGCAUUACUGUUUAUGGUCAGCGAAGAUUUAUCAGUUGUUCACAGAAAUUGGGCAGCUUUUGUUAUUCUUUAGCAGACUUUGAUUGAUUUGUCAAGUCUACUAAUUGUUUGCUAGAUAUCUAGAGAAGAUAUGAAAGCAUUUAUUGGUGCUUAUUUGUGCUCUUUUUGACAUGAAAACAAUUGUUUGGAGCAGAUAGAAAUUAAUUGAUGGUCACGAUAGUGAACAUGGAUGCUGACUGUUAAUUUAUUUUUCUGGAAUCUCCUGAAUUGAUAAUUUGAUUAUCUUAUUUAUGAAAUUGGAUAAUUUAUGCAUUUUAUAUUAUGAAUUUAUUUCUGACUUGAUGACAAUAUUUAGGCAGUCCUUUUAAGGACUCUUGACAGUCUGAAUAUUUAAUCAAAUUAUCUAGUCAGAGACCCAAUUCUAGCCUACCCAAGACUGAAUGUUGGAUUCAUUCUUGAUACAGACGCCAGCAAUUUUGCAAUAGGAGCAGUACUUUCACAAGAACAAGAGGGAAAGGAAAGGGUUAUUGCAUAUGCCAGUAAGACUCUAAAUCCUGCAGAACAGAAUUACUGCGUUACAAGGAGGGAGCUAUUAGCUGUUGUAAACUUUCUCAAGCAUUUCCGUCAUUAUCUGUAUGGACAACAAGUCAAAGUUAGAACAGACCAUGGCACACUUAGGUGGCUAUUAGAGUUUAAGAAUCCUGAAGGACAGUUAGCCAGAUGGCCUGAAGUGAUAACACAGUACCAACUCACCUUAGUGCAUCGUGCUGGACGUGUCCACUUGAAUGCUGAUGGGUUAUCCAGACGACCUUGCACCGAUUGCCGACAUUGUAGGAGAUUUUAGAAGACUGAAAGAAAAGAGAAGUAAAGAAAUAGACUUUAUUUCUAUUUGAUUGUGAAUCUGUGACAUUAAUUGAAUUUAUAUUAUUGUUUUUCGAUAGUGAACUAUAUUGGAUUCUAUCAUGCUUACUUAACACAAGAUUUUGACAUGGAGGCUGGAGAGUGUGAUGAAAAGGAGAUGUCUACCAUAACAUUUACGCCAAUAACUGAAGAGGAAAUCAGGAAGGCACAGUUACAAGAUGGAGACAUAAAGCAUAUUUUGAGAUGGAAGGAAAUAUGCAGUGAGCGACCGAGCUGGAAAGAUGUUUCGCACCUAUCAUCAGCUACUAAGGUUUACUGGGUAAACUGGACUUUGCUAGAGGUACAAAAAGGUGUCUUGAUGAGGAGAUGGGAAUCAGAAGAUGGGAAGGAGAUAACUUGGAAAAUUGUACUCCCUCGUUCCUUGCGAAGUACAGUACUGGAGGAAUUACAGUGUUCUCAAACAGCUGCUCAUCUUGGAGUCAAUAAGACAUUGCAUAAAGUACAGAGGAGAUAUUACUGAGUUGGACUUGCUGCAGAUGUGCGAUUGUGGAUUAAGAGAUGUACUAUCUGUGCACGGCUGAAAAACCCCCCAAAGAAGAAUAAAGCUCCACUUCAGAAAUAUAGAGUUGGUGCACCACUAGAAAGGGUAGCGAUGGACAUUUUGGGCCCUUUACCCGAGACGGACAGUGGAAACAAGUAUGUGUUAGUCGUGGGAGACUAUUUCACAAAAUGGAUAGAAUCGUACCCAUUACCAGAUCAGGAGGCGGAGAUGGGUACUAGUGGAGGAGUUUAUUUGUCGGUAUGGAAUACCAAAAGAACUACAUAGUGACCAAGGGAGGAAUUUUGAGUCAAGGCUGAUGGCAGAGAUGUGUAAGAUGUUUGGUAUUAAGGAAACAAGGACUUGCCCACUACUCCCACAAGGAGAUGGAUUUAUAGAAAGAUUUAAUAGAACCUUACUGGGUAUGGUCUCGUCAUUGCUCGAUCCAGAUGAUGAGCAGAAGGACUGGGAUGAGAGGAUUCCAUUCGCGAUGUUGGCAUACAGAUCAGCAGUCCAGGAAUCAACUGGAGAGAGUCCUGCUAUGAUGAUGCUUGGAAGAGAAAUCAGUCUGCCGGUAGAUUUGCUGUUACCUUCUCCAACACCUGCAAAUGAAGAAGAAUCAGACUAUGUGAGUGAUGUGAGGGAAAAGUUACACGAGGUACAUGAAGGUGCUAGAGAAAAACUUGGAAUUGCAGCUGAAAGACAGGCUAAGUCUUAUGAUAGAAAUAUCAUUCAGCGAAGUUUUAUGACUGGAGACUGGGUGUGGUUAUUCGACGCAUCAAGGAAGAAAGGAGUGUGCCCUAAGCUGAGCAUGAAAUGGAAAGGACCAUUUAUGGUGGUAACCAAACUUUCAGAUGUUGUGUAUCGAAUUCAGGAAUCAUCGAGAAGCAAACCAAAGGUGGUGCACAUCGAUCGACUAAAGGCUUAUACUGGAAAGCCUUUGAAAAACUGGUUGACACAAGAAAUCAGGCGUAAUCCAAAUAGAAACAGGGUUCCACCACAACGAUUCAUUGAACUUUAACUCACAAAACAAUACAUUUUCACCAUUAUGGCUCUAUUAGGAAAUUCAUUCUAGAAAUUUCCUUCAUUUAAUAUAAUAUUUAUUGGAUUGUUUGUGACAACAUACGAUUAUAUGCCUUGUAUGUUUUGCAAAUUGUUUCUUACACUACAGCAUGAUGGAGAUAAAAUGCAAGUUUUGCUCCAGGAAGUUCACUUCAUACCCCUCCAUAAACUACCAUCUAACACGGGCGCACAACCUCGAAUAUAUAUUAAUCUGUAAGCGAUGCAAGUAUGAAGAUGUUAAGAAAAACAUGAGAAGGCACUAUGAGGAAAAUCAUAGGGAACAUCUCAAAGAAGUUGACACCCUAAGAACUUAUCGUUCCAGGCCCAAGGAUAUGGAAGAGUAGGAGAGAAGUUGAUGAGGAAAGGGAGAAGGAGAAACAGGGACGGAAGGAGCAAAGACAG